UACACUCCUACGGGAGGCAGCAGUGGGGAAUUUUGGACAAUGGGCGAAAGCCUGAUCCAGCAAUGCCGCGUGAGUGAAGAAGGCCUUCGGGUUGUAAAGCUCUUUUGUCAGGGAAGAAACGGUGAAAGCUAAUAUCUUUUGCUAAUGACGGUACCUGAAGAAUAAGCACCGGCUAACUACGUGCCAGCAGCCGCGGUAAUACGUAGGGUGCAAGCGUUAAUCGGAAUUACUGGGCGUAAAGCGUGCGCAGGCGGUUUUGUAAGUCUGAUGUGAAAUCCCCGGGCUCAACCUGGGAAUUGCAUUGGAGACUGCAAGGCUAGAAUCUGGCAGAGGGGGGUAGAAUUCCACGUGUAGCAGUGAAAUGCGUAGAUAUGUGGAGGAACACCGAUGGCGAAGGCAGCCCCCUGGGUCAAGAUUGACGCUCAUGCACGAAAGCGUGGGGAGCAAACAGGAUUAGAUACCCUUGUAGUCCCA
rnacentral:rRNA from 1 species